rnacentral:misc_RNA from 1 species
CUGGGAGAUCUCCUCGCGCUCGCGGCUGGCGCUCUGCAGGAACUGGAGCUCGGCGAUGAGAUGCUCGCGCUCGACGGAGAGCUCCUCGGCCUGCGCGUACGCUUAUGCAAGGACGAGGAGCUCAGCAGAGUGGACCACGCCCUUCCAUGGAACGCCGAGGUCGGGGUCGGUCUGGACUGCGCCAUCCCAUGGAUAUCCGAGGUGGGGGAGGCUGUCACGAUGGAGGUGGCGGGGCAUAGGGUGAGCGAAGGACAAGGGCAGGGCACGCACGGAGGAGGGGGCGCGCACGUAAGGAAGGAGGGCGAUGGAACGGAUGGCGGCCUCGGUGCGUGGGGAAGGAAGGAAGGUGAUGGCGGCCUCGGCGCGCGCGUGGGGAAGGAAGGUGAUGGCGCGGAUGGUGGCCUCGGUGCGUGGGGAAGGAAGGUGAUGGCGAUGAUUGUGCAGAUGGCGGCCGAGGCGCGUGGGGGCGGGCGGUGA